rnacentral:rRNA from 1 species
AUGAACUGGUUGCGAAACUAUUUCACACCCCUCACCCUUUUGUGUAGCGCCCGCCACGCCGGCGCCACACCCUACGGUGCAGCGCCUAGCUCCGGGGCGUUGCACAACUGUCCACCGUGGCAGCCCACGGGCCCGCACCCAGCAGUGCAACGCCUCCGAGCUAGGCGCUGCACCUGUAAUGUGCAGCGCCUAGCCGCUAGGCGUUGCACGUGUAAUGUGCAGCGCCUAGCGGCUAGGCGCUGCACUGUGACUUAUAUGCAAACGCGCCAGCCCUCUCUUCCCCCAUCCUCCCCAUUGGCAGUUACAGAAAAAAGGGCGGCGGCCAUCUGCACUCCCCCUCUCAAUCCCCUCUCCCAAAUCCUUCCGAUCCGACGAUUUGGUCCGUGCAUUUGUUCACCAAUCCAUCGUAGAAGGAUGGUUUGGCUUCUCGAUGAUCACUGGGACCAUCAACACCGGUCGUACGCUAUGUCGGUGCAGCAGCGGGAGCUUGCACCUCUGAAGCUUCGGUCUCACGGGAUCAGCCUUGGAGGGAUGAGCUAUGAUGAGCGGUACACACCUUAUGUUAGGGAGGCAGGACUUCUCCCUUUCAUUGAGUUGUUGGACGAUGCCAGUUGUAGGCACACUGGAGGUAUUGGUGGUUGUCUGCUCGCACUUUCCAUAUGGAGCUGGGAGCGUUUGCCGGUUGGACGACCUAAGACCGUGAAGUACGAGGAUUGGGACGAUAAAGACGACCCACUACGGCUCCCCACUUGGGCUUACAAGUGGGAUGUGUUAAAUGAGACGACGGAUGAUCCCUCUGUAAUGUACAAGUUGUACAAGAGCGAGCUGGACGCGAUCACGCCUGAGAAGGUGGAAUGGGAGCCGUUGGAUAGGAAAAAGCAGCGGAAGAUCAAGGAUUGGGCCAGCCAUCACAGGAAGUAUGUCGUGCAGUUCGCUCUUAGUGUGGAGCAAGCAAGGGCUGGAAAACGAGCCCAGCUUCAUGAGCACUGCCCGAUCGCGUUCAACAACUAUCUCGCAUGGUUUCUUGCAAGUACCCGCGUGGAGGUAUGCCAGCCGGCAUAUGCUGAGGAGAUUUUGGAAGAACCCACCGUUUUUGAUGAGGUAGCCCAGCACCAGUACAACGCAUUAGUCAGGAAAGGCAACUCGGUGAUCCCUUCAGCUCCAAUGAUGAACUUUGUGCGUGCCCAGAUCAAGAAAGCAGCUGACGAGACCGAGACUAUUCUGGAAACAACCCCGGCUGGCAAAAGCGAUGGGGAAGGUGCACUUCGAGAAUUCAUUAAGCGCCAGGGCCAAAAGUUAAGGCGGCUAUCAAACCUUUUCGGUUGUCGUGACCCCGAGUAUGUAUCACCAGAACGGUCUAGGUCGGCGACACCAUCAGAUCCCGCUUCGGGGCAGAGCCAUGGUGAACCUUUCACGGAUGAGGAUGUGGGUGGGGUCACCCAAGAGGUUGCUGAUGAUAUGACCUUGGGGACGUACCGGGCUUGGUCUGCAUACGAGUUGAAGCCUAGGAGGGGAAUCAACAAGUACACACCUGAAGACUUCACCCAAAGAGGCAAAAGGACGGUCGGCACCUCGCGGAUGGCGGCUUUGGAUGAGUAUUUGGAUGACGAUGUCGAACCGGAGGCGGAGCUGGAGCCGGAGCGGGUUCCUCUUCCUAGGAAGGUGAAGAAGAUAAGCGUCAAGAGGGGGGGAGGACCCAGCAAGCGUGGAAAGCACUAG